rnacentral:rRNA from 1 species
CCUACGGGUGGCAGCAGUGAGGAAUAUUGGUCAAUGGGCGAGAGCCUGAACCAGCCAAGUCGCGUGAAGGAUGACGGCCCUACGGAUUGUAAACUUCUUUAGGCGGGGAGCAAUGCCGGGCACGCGUGCCCGUAGGGAGAGUACCCGCAGAAUAAGCAUCGGCUAACUCCGUGCCAGCAGCCGCGGUAAUACGGAGGAUGCGAGCGUUAUCCGGAUUUAUUGGGUUUAAAGGGUGCGUAGGCGGAUUUUAAAGUCAGCGGUAAAAUGUCGGGGCUCAACCCGGGCGGGCCGUUGAAACUGGGGAUCUUGAGUGGGCGAGAAGUAUGCGGAAUGCGUGGUGUAGCGGUGAAAUGCAUAGAUAUCACGCAGAACACCGAUUGCGAAGGCAGCAUACCGGCGCCCGACUGACGCUGAGGCACGAAAGCGUGGGGAUCGAACAGGAUUAGAUACCCGGGUAGUC